UCCCUAUCCUCUGGCAAGGAAAGUGG
rnacentral:misc_RNA from 1 species